rnacentral:tRNA from 1 species
GCCGAUGUGGUGAAAUUGGUAGACACGCCAUCUUGAGGGGGUGGUGACGAAAGUCAUGCCGGUUCGAGUCCGGCCAUCGGCACCA